UACGUAGGGUGCAAGCGUUGUCCGGAAUUAUUGGGCGUAAAGAGCUUGUAGGCGGUUUGUCGCGUCUGCUGUGAAAUUUCGGGGCUCAACCCCGAACUUGCAGUGGGUACGGGCAGACUAGAGUGUGGUAGGGGAGACUGGAAUUCCUGGUGUAGCGAUGAAAUGCGCAGAUAUCAGGAGGAACACCGAUGGCGAAGGCAGGUCUCUGGGCCAUAACUGACGCUGAGAAGCGAAAGCAUGGGGAGCGAACAGG
rnacentral:rRNA from 1 species